AUAUAUAUAUAUAUAUUAUGUUUGCAACACUUUGUCCAUACAAGAAUACAAAUAUAUACUUUUUGUUAAAAUUGUCAAACAUUAUAUCAGUAAAAAUCUGGUCAGAACAGAAACAAGUUUGUCUUAGGCUCUGAAAUAAGUUUUAACUAAAAGAAAAAAAAGUUUAACAUUCUAUGUAAAGCAUAAAAACAAAAGAGAAGUUAACUCUUGACCUAAAACCUAACCAAGUCAACACAUGAAUGAUAGAAGAGGAAAUAGAAACAAACAAAAAAUGACAAGAGAAUAUAAACUAAUGACAAUGGUGAAUGAAGUAUUAAGGGACACAACUCUAUGCCAUGCCCAGGAAUAUAUAUUUAAAAGUUUUCCUUUGAGGCCAGCCACUAGAUAAGGUGGAACAGGCUUGACCAGCAUCUAUGACCCAAAUUGGUUUACAUAGAUGACAAGUGCAACCAACUAUAUAUGCUUUCUCCCCCAAGAGACCCAGUUUCAACAAGACCUGAACACCUUUGUCUGCUCUGCCAUAGGAAGUCUCAACGGCUUAACAAAUUUGUUACAAGUAUUUGUGUAGUUUGGACCAAAACAAUUUUUUGAAAGUUAAUUGGGUACAUUAAUGACCUCAUUGUAAUUUAAAAAUGAAAAUAGUCUAGAUCUAGACAUCUUUAAGUAAUAAAAAGUAUGUUACAAUAAUUCACAAAUUUUUAUGAUUAUUUAGUAGGUCUACUAGAUCUAGGCUAGCACUAAAUCUAGAUCUACAUCUUAUCAUAGGAAGAUAUUUCCAUUAUUGCCAUGUAUAAGACUACAGUCACGUGACCUUUUUUAUAAAGUAGGUCAGGGAUUAUGAACAACCUCCUUGGAAAAUUCGAACAGAAAAUGCUUAAGCAAAGUCUUGUUUUACUGGAAUAUCCUGUUAGAAUAGAUUAUUCCAUUCUAGCCCAAGGUUUGCAGCCGGGAUCAUUGAGAUGAAAGUCAAGAAUGCAUAUCACAUGACCAGCUAUCAAAGUCUUUUACAGCUUUACAUUUCUCAGUUAAAAAUACAAAGCAAAGAACAUUAUUAAGUUUCAGUUGAAUGGCCAUCAAAAAAUAUUCUUCUCACUAACUUUGACAAGAAGACUUGCAAUCUUCAUGGAGGUACACAGAUCAAGACUAGAUUGUAUUGCAGAGAAACAUCAAACAAACAAAGGAUUCAAUGAAUGAUUUAAAAAAAAAAGAAAUUUAUCGUAAAUAAAAAAAAAAUCUUGAAAAAAAAAAACAAGUGGGGGUGAACAAUAACUGUACAUCAUGAUGUAUUACAUAUUAAACAUCAGGAUGUAGAACACAUCAAACAAAGAUAAAAAAAAAAAAAAAAA